CUCGGGGCUGGGGGGUCCCUCAGUCCAGAUUGAAAGAGGGUGCAGGCCAGGCUGAGGGACCCCACUGGUGCAGG
rnacentral:pre_miRNA from 1 species